rnacentral:rRNA from 1 species
GACGAACGCUGGCGGCGUGCUUAACACAUGCAAGUCGAACGGUAAGGCUCCAGCUUGCUGGGGUACACGAGUGGCGAACGGGUGAGUAACACGUGGGUGACCUGCCCUGCACUUCGGGAUAAGCCUGGGAAACUGGGUCUAAUACCGGAUAGGACCGCACCGUGAGGGUGUGGUGGAAAGUUUUUUCGGUGUGGGAUGGGCCCGCGGCCUAUCAGCUUGUUGGUGGGGUAAUGGCCUACCAAGGCGGCGACGGGUAGCCGGCCUGAGAGGGUGGACGGCCAAAAUGGGAGGGAGAAAGGGCCCAGACUCAUAGGGGGGGAAGGGGGGGGGAAUAUUAAAAAAUGGGGGGAAGCGUGGAGGAGGGACGCCGGGGGGGGGAGGAGGGCAUUCGGGUGGAAAACUCCUUUCACCAGCGACGAGGGGUUUAGGGGGGAAAAGGGAGAAGAAGGAGCGACAAAAUAGGU